AUGGAGCGCGAACGGCGUCUACUCGGCCAAGUCGGCCUACACGGCCACUUUCGCCGGCUCCACGACCUACGCCGCCUGGAAACUCACCUGGAAACACUGGGCACCGCCGCGCGUCCGCUUCUUCCACUGGCUCGCCCACCUCGACAGAUGUUGGACCGCCGACAGGCUCGCUCGCCGUGGGCUGCAACACCCCGCACGGUGCCCCCUAUGCGACCAGGCGCCUGA
rnacentral:rRNA from 1 species